CUUUAACGAAGCUCGAUAAGAUGGCACACUCGAAACCAUGCCGAACUCGCAAGUGAACCCUUAUAUCCAGGAAAUACUAUAAGAUUAUGGAAACCCCAUACAAACGUUAAAGAU
rnacentral:rRNA from 1 species